CUACAGUAUCACAUGUUGCCAAGAUAUGAAGUCUCAGCAUGUUGCCUGGGCUGGUCUCAAACCCUUGGGCCCAAGUGAUCCUCCCACCUCAGCCUCCCAAAGUGUUGGGAUUACAGGUGUAAGUCACUGCACCUGGCCUAUGGUAUUAAACUUUAAUUGCAAAUACCGCAAGUAUGAAUUCAUGGUUUGAAAAAGAUAUUCCUGGCUCUGUCUACUGAAAGGGGUUAGAAGCAAUGACGUCUCAAUAGCAGGGAACACACACAGUCCCUAGAUUUCCCACAUCAAGAGAACCAGGCUUCCUCGAGAAAUGCUGAGACCAGCUUGGACAGGAAAAGAACAAAAUGAGCCUGAGAUGCCCUGUGGAGCCAGAAGGCGAGGAAGCCACAAAGACUCAUAGAGUGAUGAAAAGAGGAUAUGAACACCGUACUUGAAAUGGCUCACACUGGCAGGAUUGGGACAAUCUGAGCAACGCAGAAUAAUGAAUGUAAUUGAUAGUUGCACCUUAUGGGCAGCAAGUAUUUUCU
rnacentral:lncRNA from 10 species